UUUGGUGGCGAUAGCGAAGAGGUCACACCCGUUCCCAUGCCGAACACGGAAGUUAAGCUCUUCAGCGCCGAUGGUAGUUGGGGGUCUCCCCCUGUGAGAGUAGGACGCCGCCAAGC
rnacentral:rRNA from 2 species